GAUGAACGCUGGCGGCGUGCCUAAUACAUGCAAGUCGAACGCUGGAGAUCUAGCUUGCUAGCUCGAAGGAGUGGCGAACGGGUGAGUAAUACAUAAGCAACCUACCCACGAAGACUGGGAUAAUCUCUGGAAACGGGGACUAAUACCGGAUAGGUAAUCGGAAGGCAUCUUCUGGUUAUUAAAGGUUAAAAACACUGGUGGAUGGGCUUAUGGCGCAUUAGUUAGUUGGUGAGGUAACGGCCCACCAAGACGAUGAUGCGUAGCCGGCCUGAGAGGGUGAACGGCCACAUUGGGACUGAGACACGGCCCAGACGCCUACGGGAGGCAGCAGUAGGGAAUUUUCGGCAAUGGGGGCAACCCUGACCGAGCAACGCCGCGUGAGUGAAGACGGCCUUCGGGUUGUAAAGCUCUGUUGUAAGGGAAGAACGGUAGAUAGAGAAUAUCUAAGUGACGGUACCUUACCAGAAAGCCACGGCUAACUACGU
rnacentral:rRNA from 1 species